UGCAGUCGAGCGGAGUUGAAAGGUGCUUGCACCUUUGAUACUUAGCGGCGGACGGGUGAGUAACACGUGGGUAACCUGCCUAUAAGACUGGGAUAACAUUCGGAAACGAAUGCUAAUACCGGAUACGCGAUUUGGUCGCAUGAUCGAAUCGGGAAAGAUGGAGCAAUCUAUCACUUACAGAUGGACCCGCGGCGCAUUAGCUAGUUGGUGAGGUAACGGCUCACCAAGGCGACGAUGCGUAGCCGACCUGAGAGGGUGAUCGGCCACACUGGGACUGAGACACGGCCCAGACUCCUACGGGAGGCAGCAGUAGGGAAUCUUCCGCAAUGGACGAAAGUCUGACGGAGCAACGCCGCGUGAGUGAUGAAGGUUUUCGGAUCGUAAAGCUCUGUUGCCAGGGAAGAAUGCUUGGGAGAGUAACUGCUCCCAAGGUGACGGUACCUGAGAAGAAAGCCCCGGCUAACUACGUGCCAGCAGCCGCGGUAAUACGUAGGGGGCAAGCGUUGUCCGGAAUUAUUGGGCGUAAAGCGCGCGCAGGCGGCCUUGUAAGUCUGUUGUUUAAACUUGGGGCUCAACCCGAAGUCGCAAUGGAAACUGCAAAGCUUGAGUACAGAAGAGGAAAGUGGAAUUCCACGUGUAGCGGUGAAAUGCGUAGAGAUGUGGAGGAACACCAGUGGCGAAGGCGACUUUCUGGGCUGUAACUGACGCUGAGGCGCGAAAGCGUGGGGAGCAAACA
rnacentral:rRNA from 1 species